UCGUUCUCUACUUUCUUAGGCUUUCAUAAUAUAGUAAGAGAUGAAAAAAAAAAAGCUACAAAAAACCACCUCUUCCUCCUCUGAGCCUGUCUGAACCCUAGUCUUCGACAACUGCCUCCACCCUCCUCUAAUUUCUUGAAGUCCGAUUACUUAAUAGAUCUAAGUAUUACGAUUUUGUAAUAUGUUUACAUUAAUCACUGAAGUCCGAUUAGCUCGUGCUCGUUGUUGAAAUCAUCGAUCUCGCAUGAUGAAAUGCCUCUUUCCAUCUGUUACAAUGUUGAAGAAGAGAAGGCCGUUGAUGAUCUUAGCAUUGGUUUCAAUUUCCACGAAAAUGGUUUUCUUCAUGAGGACUACGUUUGAUUCUUAUAGUGGUAAUUUGAGAAUAGACGUUUUGUGGAAGAAAAGGGUAUCGACUCAAAGAUUCGCUCUUCCCUAAUCAAGAGAAAAGCUCUGAAUCCUCGAUUUCAUGAGGUCUAAGCUCGUUCUCUUUGUCUGACAUGAGCUCUCUCUUUCUUGUAUUAUUGGAUUCGUAUUUCCUUUAUAACCCACUUAGCCAUUGUCAUUAGGAAGGAAAUUUUUAUAGAAAUUUGACUGAGAGCUUUUAGUUUGGCUACUGGUGGGCCUCUACUACUCAUAGAGCCUGCAUUUUUGUUGAGAGGUGUUGGUACUCAAGUUGUUUGGAUUACUGAUCAAAAGCCACUAGAGGCUGAUAAAGUUGUAUACAGUUUGGAGCUCAAGAUGUUAGAUUGAGGAGCGUUGGUUAAAUUAAUCUUUUAAUUUGUCUGCACUUCAGGAACUCUUUGAUUACUGUAAUGCUAAAUUAAUUAAGAAGGGAAUAGGUUUACUUUUGUCUCAUAUGCACUUUUAGGGUCAUAAUGCAUAAUGUAAUCAUGUGAUUUGUUUGUUUGUUUAGUGUAAUUCUUCUUAAACGAUCAAAUAUUUGGUUUUCUCAAUUACAUUGUUUUGGCUUCCAUAUUUAGCUGCUAAGGCUAAGUUGUGACCCUUUAAAAUGUUAUUGUACUAUCAUUAUUAAUGAUCAAGUUAUUUAUAUUCUUGGAACUUGGUAAAAUUAGCAGAAUAGUAGCAAAUUCUACAUGUUCUUAAGUUGAUAGUAUAUUAUGUCUCUUUUUUUUUGAAGAAAAGGUCUACUUGUUUUUUUUCUCUUUAUAUUGUUGGUGACCAAGGUUAAGAUUUUCCUUCUCUAAGUUUCAUCUGCUAAGGAACAAGAAGCCGUGGAGACUGCUCUGAAAGCUCAAUUAGUUAUUCUAAAUACUGCUGUUGCUGGGAAAUGGUUGGAUGUUGUCCUUAAGGAGAAUGUUCCCCAUGUCCUUCCCAAGGUUCUGUGGUGGAUUCAUGAGAUGCGAGGGAUUUAUUUCAAAGUCUGAGUAUGUGAAGCACCUCCCUUUUGCUGGAGGUGCCAUGAUUGAUUUACACAACUACAAAAUACUGGAAAAACAGAGCAUGGGAUCGAUUGGGGAUAUGAUGGUGCAUCAUACUUGUCGACUUUGGAAUUAUAUGAUCCUUCCAGGAAUAUGAUUAAAUCUCUCAUGGCAAUGAGAUCUGUACGUGGAUAUGCUUUUGUUGCUUGGUUGAAUAGUCAGCAUUAUGUUUUGGGUGGUGGUAAUCGUUGUGUAUGGUAUAACACUGUUGAAUCCUAUAACCUAGAGACUGAUUAGUGGACCUUGUCCCCCUUUCUUAAAUUUAGCGAAGGGAAGCCUCAGAGGAGUUAGCAUUGGCAACAAAUUAUUUGCCAUUGGUGGCGGAAAUGGUAUUGAGUCCUUGACAGAUGUUGAAAUGCUUACCUUAGAUAUUGGGCGAUGGAUUUGUACAAGGUCAAUGCUACAAAGGCGAUUUGUUGCUGGUGCAGUGGAGCUCAAUGGCAUACUUUAUGCAUCAGAGGGGUUUGAUGGUAGUGACUAUUUGAAGUAAGAUACAUGACGAUUUUUUUUUUCAUAGACCCAUCUCAUUUGAUGGUAGUGACUAUUUGAGUUGGCUUGAAAGAUUUAAAAUUUGAGUUGCUAGUAUGAAUGAAAAGCGAGGAUGUCAUUCAUUGGUGACUUUGAACAAGAAACUAUAAGCCAUUUCUUUGUUAUGGUUAAUGGAUAACUAUUUUCAAGAUCCUUUUCAA